rnacentral:rRNA from 1 species
UACGUCCCUGCCCUUUGUACACACCGCCCGUCGCUACUACCGAUUGAAUGGCUCAGUGAGGCCUCCGGACUGGCUCGAAGAGGUUGGCAACGACCACUUCGAGCCGGAAAGUUCGUCAAACUCGGUCAUUUAGAGGAAGUAAAAGUCGUAACAAGGUUUCCGUAGGUGAACCUGCGGAAGGAUCAUUACUUAGAGUUGUAGGCUUUGCCUACCAUCUCUUACCCAUGUCUUUUGAGUACCUUCGUUUCCUCGGCGGGUCCGCCCGCCGAUUGGACAAACUUAAACCCUUUGUAAUUGAAAUCAGCGUCUGAAAAAACAUAAUAGUUACAACUUUCAACAACGGAUCUCUUGGUUCUGGCAUCGAUGAAGAACGCAGCGAAAUGCGAUAAGUAGUGUGAAUUGCAGAAUUCAGUGAAUCAUCGAAUCUUUGAACGCACAUUGCGCCCCUUGGUAUUCCAUGGGGCAUGCCUGUUCGAGCGUCAUUUGUACCUUCAAGCUCUGCUUGGUGUUGGGUGUUUGUCUCGCCUUUGCGUGUAGACUCGCCUUAAAACAAUUGGCAGCCGGCGUAUUGAUUUCGGAGCGCAGUACAUCUCGCGCUUUGCACUCAUAACGACGACGUCCAAAAAGUACUUUUUACACUCUUGACCUCGGAUCAGGUAGGGAUACCCGCUGAACUUAAGCAUAUCAAUAAGCGGAGGAAAAGAAACCAACAGGGAUUGCCCUAGUAACGGCGAGUGAAGCGGCAACAGCUCAAAUUUGAAAUCUGGCGUCUUUGGCGUCCGAGUUGUAAUUUGCAGAGGGCGCUUUGGCAUUGGCAGCGGUCCAAGUUCCUUGGAACAGGACGUCA